UUCCCACUUCCAGUGGUAAGUUAUGCAUUAAAAUUUGUACAUGUGAUGCAAGUCUGACCGUGGUUACACGGGCGAACUUUAAACAAAAUUCCAUCGCUGGAACAUACCAAUGAGUACACUUUAAAAGCUUUAACGAGUAUCCAUUGGAGGGCAAGUCUGGUGCCAGCAGCCGCGGUAAUUCCAGCUCCAAAAGUAUAUAUUUAAGUUGUUGCGGUUAAAAAGCUCGUAGUUGGAUUUUGGGCGCAGGCGGCCGGUCCGUCGCAAGGCGUGUAA
rnacentral:ncRNA from 1 species